GUGUGUGUGUGUGUGUGUGUGUGUGUGUGUGUGUGUGUGUGUGUGUGUGAGAGUUGGCACCCUUAACCAAAACACAGGACAUCAUGAGGUGCCAACGAGAGGAGGAGGAGGAGGAGGAGGAAAAGGUAAGGAAAAAAAGACGAUGAUGAAGACGAGGACGAAGAGGGCGUAAGCGAACACACACACACACACACACACACACACACAUACACACUCUCAAGAUCCACGUAGCAACCAAGCCUGCCAAGUCCACCUCCCCCGUGUACAUACCCCACCUCAACCUCCUCCCCCCCUCCCCCUCCCCGGCACCUGCAGUAACCAACCCCCCACUACAUCCGCCUUCACCACGCCAUGCCUCUGACGCAUUCUUGACUGUUUCCAAAUUUAAGGCGAAAAUACACGAAUCUAGCAAGUCCAAGGAGGAGGAGGAGGAGGAGGAAACCAAGGCAAAUAAGAUCGUAUAAAGUUCAAAGAGUAAAAAAUGCAAAGAGGAGGAAGAGGGAACGAAGGAGGAAGAAAAGUGAAAGAAAAGUUCAAGAGAAGAGGAAGAGGAGGAGGAGGAGCAGAAUAUCAAUGAGAAUGAUUAAAUAAAGUUCAAAGGGUAACACUGAAAAGAGGAGGAAGAAAGAAGGAAGAAAAAUGAAAGAAAAGUUCAUAAGAGGAAUACUGUUAGGAGGAGGAGGAGGAGGAGGAGGAGGAGGAGGAAGGAACCCAGUAACGAGGGAAUAUAUACACUUCAUGAGGCGGUGUUGCUGUCAGAACAUUUACCCCCAGCGAAGCAUGCGUCUCUCUCUCUCUCUCUCUCUCUCUCUCUCUCUCGCUGGAGGAGAAAAAAUGCGUAGACUCAGCAAUAGUAGGAAAAAAGCGAUAACGUUGAUAAGGAUAGUGAAGAAACAGGAUAUUGCACAACCAACCAUACACACACACACACACACACACACACACACACACACACACACACGAGUUCUGUCCUUCAUCACCACCAUCAUCAUCACCAUUGUCUAUCACCAUCAUCUAUUACCACACUGCACAAUAAAAUAAAAAGUACUGGUGAGGUUCUUCGUGUGAUUAUAAGGAGACUGUAACUUCCUCUCUCUCAAAAUCAUCGCCAACCUAACAGUGAAGAUAUUAACGGUAAACUAACAUCAGGAGUAAACACACACAAAAAAAAAAAAACAGUGUAAGAAAACAGAACAAAAAGGAAGAGGCUGUAUAUAUGUAGGCCUACUAGAAAUCGGGUUUAGUAGUGAGCUUACAACUAUCCAAGAAUUACCUAAUACCACCGUCAACGUCAGAAGUAUAAAAACAACCCCAGAAAGCAAUAUUAAUAAAACUCAAACGAACCCUAGGAAGCUUAACAUUGUAUAAUACGUGUAAGUCGUUUUUUGUGUGAAGAGAGAUAAGGACAAACCCAAGAAUUACCUAACAUCACCGUCAACGUCAGAAAUAUAAAAUAACCCCAGAAAUCAAUAUCAUUAAAACCCAAACGAACCCUAGCAAGCCUAACAUUGUCUAAUACGUAUAAGUCGUUUUUUGUGUGUAUAGAGAUAAGGACAAACCCAAGAAUUAUCUAACAUCACGGUCAACUUCAGCGAUCAAAAACAAAACACUAACGACCCAAAGCUAUAGCAUAUUAGUAAAAACACGAAUCCCAACUGGCCUAACUAAGAUGUAUUAUAAGUCUGUUUUUUUUUUGUUUUUUUUGUGUGUGUGUGGAGAUGACGACAAACCAGGAAUUACCUAACAUCACAGUCAACGUUAGCAAUAUAAAACAAAACAGUAACCCUCAGAAAGCAGUAGCCUAUUAGUAAAGAGCACACACUCCCCCAACUAGCCUAACUAAAAUGCAUUAUAAUUCUGUUUUCGUGGAGCUUACGACAACCCAAGAUUUACCUAACAUCAACUGUGUGUCAACGUCAGCAAUAUAUAAGAAAACAGUAACCCCUAUUAGUAAAGAGCACACACUCCCCCAACUAGCCUAACUAAAAUGCAUUAUAAGUCUGUUUUUGUGAAGCUUACGACAACUCAAGAAUUACCUAACAUCAACUGUGUGUCAACGUCAGCAAUAUAUAACAGUAACCUAUUAUAAUGUAAAGAGCACACACUCCCCCAACUAGCCUAACUAAAAUGCAUUGUAAGUCUUUUUGUGAAGCUUACGACAACUCAAGAAUUACCUAACAUCAACUGUGUCAACGUCAGCAAUAUAUAACAAAACAGUAGCCCCAGAUAGCAGUAGCCUAUUAGUAAAACCCAAACUAAACCCCAGCAAGCCUAACAAUGUAUUUUAAUGUAUUAGAAGUUGUAGUGUAUAUUCAGAAGUCGUGUUUUUCUAGUGAUGAUACUGGAAUUCCCUUAUAACAGGAGUAGAGAAUAAAACUAACCACAGAAAGCCAUGUUAGUAAACGCCACACGCGAUACGGGAAUUCCCUUAUAACAGAGCAUCAAACAAAACAGUUGGGGGCCUAACCUCCAGAAAGCUAUAUUAGUAAAACGCACACGAUCCCCAGUCAUUGUGAGUUUAACACAGGUGUAUUAGAAGUCCAAGCAGUGAAUGUUACGUCAAAACAAGUUGAGUGGAAUAUAAUGUUUGUAAAUACUCGAUUCUUAACUGGGAGCCGUUGAGCGACUGUAUGGGCUAUACGCAGACGCUUCCGCCCACUACAUAAACCAUUUUCAAAGACCAAGAAGAUCAGUCGGGUUCUAAUGAGUGUUUUUGUGGGUUCAUGGUACAGAAGAAGGGUCAAACUGCCACCUGGGUCAGAAAACUACGCCUGGAAAUGCCCAUAACUGUUACGAAAGCCUUGUCAAAUAUGUGUGCGUGUACGACCUCUGCUGUCUUUACAUUUCUCCACAUGUAAAACCUUCUCCACUGACCCACUUCCUCUUCUUACUAUAUCCUUGAAACAAAUAAAUAUAAAAAUGUGCCACACGAACGAUGACAUGACAGCACGAACGUUAAAAUCCUCCUUCGUCUUCCUCACCCCGUGCACGAAUAUUAGGAAGGGAUAUGAGUCUUUUUUCCUUCCUGUUUGACGUUAGCCUACUCGGUAUACGACGACGCUUGUUUGUUAUAGUUUAAAUAGCUCCUUCGUUUUUUGUCAACGCACCCCCUCCACCACCUCUUUCUUGCAUGGUCUAUAUAUGAAGAUGCUGCGUUUUUCUUCUAUUCCAUAUCAUUUUAUUUUUAACGGAUGUUCUUUUCCUCUCAUUCUGACAUUUAACUUGAGCUUUCUUUAUAUAAACACCUCACAAAUACACAUCCUGCCCCCAAUUAUCAACACCAACAAGAGAUUAAGUGCUUCUAAAAACACUUCCUCUCUUGAAAUAUGAGAAUGUCUUAAAAAAACAACUUCAUACUAGCCUACAAUCCCACGUCGUACAACAUAUAAGUCUCUUAAGAUACGAUAAUAUUAUUCUUUCUUUCCUUCAACACGAUUAUCUGUUUCUUUAUUUCUUCCGGUAAGAUUAUAUACGAUUAUUUUUUUUCUUUAAUUAACCGACACGAUUACAUUUUCUCUACUUCCUCCAAUACAACUUUUUUUCUGUAUUUCCUAAGGUACGCUGACUUUUCUUCUUUUUUUCUUCCAAUUAUCUUUUUAUCUUUAUUUCUUCCGAUAAGAUUAGAUACGAUUACUUUUUCUUUAAUUCCCCGACACGACAACAUUUUCUCUACUUCCUCCAAAACGACAACUUUUUUCUGCAUUUCCUAAGGUAUAUACGCUGACUUAUUUUAGACUUUAUUUCCCUCCGGCACGAUCACUAUACUCUUCAAACGCUCUUUCCAAUCAUCUGAGUAAGCGGCGUGGCUCUCAACAUUGAAACAGCGACAGGGCGAACGAGGGGGGAAAAGGAGAGGAGAGCUACGUCCGUACCCAACCAUCACUCCUGUCAGACGCAACGCACAGGAGGCAACACAAUAAUAGGAAGAAUAUAAAGACCAACAGAGUACACCCGUGCCAGGUACUACGAGGAAGCCCCAGGGUCACAGAAACAAAGAAAGUGACAGGUAUAGACGUGAGAUGAACAUACACAGACUGACUGAAAUACAUAAACAGAGACAGAUGGGGAGGUGAAUGGAGAGAGAGAGAGAGAGAGAGAGAGAGAGAGAGAGAGAGAGAGAGAGAGAGAGAGAGAGAGAGAGAGAGAGAGAGAGAGAGAGAGAGAGAGAGAGAUAUAAAUAGAUCUACAUAGACAUUCAGAGUACACAGACCCAAUGGAGAGAGAGAGAGAGAGAGAGAGAGAGAGAGAGAGAGAGAGAGAGAGAGAGAGAGAGAGAGAGA